CCUUGACAUCCACGGAAUUUGGCAGAGAUGCCUUAGUGCCUUCGGGAACCGUGAGACAGGUGCUGCAUGGCUGUCGUCAGCUCGUGUUGUGAAAUGUUGGGUUAAGUCCCGCAACGAGCGCAACCCUUAUCCUUUGUUGCCAGCGAUUCGGUCGGGAACUCAAAGGAGACUGCCGGUGAUAAACCGGAGGAAGGUGGGGAUGACGUCAAGUCAUCAUGGCCCUUACGGCCAGGGCUACACACGUGCUACAAUGGCGCAUACAAAGAGAAGCGACCUCGCGAGAGCAAGCGGGACCUCAUAAAGUGCGUCGUAGUCCGGAUUGGAGUCUGCAACUCGACUCCAUGAAGUCGGAAUCGCUAGUAAUCGUAGAUCAGAAUGCUACGGUCGAAUACGUUCCCGGGCCUUGUACACACCGCCCGUCACACCAUGGGAGUGGGUUGCAAAAGAAGUAGGUAGCUUAACCUUCGGGAGGGCGCUUACCACUUUGUGAUUCAUGACUGGGGUGAAGUCGUAACAAGGUAAGCGUAGAUGA
rnacentral:rRNA from 1 species